rnacentral:rRNA from 1 species
UUUUUAUUUUUAUUUUUAUUUUUAUAAUUUAAUAUAUUUAGUUAAUUAUUUAAAUUUAUUUAUUUUUAUACUGAAAAGGAUUAUUUAAAAAUUAUAAAAUAAUUUAUUAGUACCUUUUGUAUCAGGGUAAAUUAAAUAAUAAAAUUAUUUAUUAUUCUCGAAAUAAAUGAUAUUUAAUUUUAUUUUAAUUUUGUUGUUAAAUUAACAUAAAUAAAUUUAAAUUAGUAGUUAUAUGUUAUUCGUUCUUUAUUAUAUCUAGUUAUUUAGGAUUUCAAUUUAAUUGAUGAUUAAUUUAUAUUUAUUAUUAUAUCAUUUAUUUAAUCAUAUAUAAUAUGGGAUAAUCUAUAUUUUUAUUUAAAAUUUUUAUAUUUUAAUUUUUAUAAUUAUUUAAAUUUUAAAUUAAGUUCUUAAUAGAUUAUUAUUAUUAUUUUAAAUAUUAUUUUAUUUAUAUUUUUACUAAAUUUAUUUAAUAAAUUUUUAUUUAUUUAUAAUAAUGAUUUAAUUAGUAUUAUUUUAACUUUAAUUUUAAAUAAUUAGACAAUUUUAAUCUUCAACUGUUUAUCAAAAACAUUUCUUUUAGAAUUUAAAUUAAAAGUAAAUUCUGCCCUAUGAUUAUUUAAAUGGCUGCAGUAUUUUGACUGUGCAAAGGUAGCAUAAUAAUUAGUCAUUUAAUUGUUGACUUGUAUGAAUGGAUAAAUGAGGGAUUUAUUUUUUUAAUUUAAAUUUAAUAAUUUUAUUUUUUGGUAAAAAAGCUAAAGUUUUUUUUAGGGACGAUAAGACCCUAUAGAACUUUAUUAUAAUUAUUUUUAUUUAUUAUUUAGUUUAUUAUUAUUAUUAAUUUUAAUUAUUUUUUUAUUGGGGUGAUAAAUAAAUUUAACUUUAUUUUAUUAUUUCAUUAAUAUAUGAUAAGUUUUGAUCCAUAAUUUAGAUUAAAAGAUAUAGUUACCUUAGGGAUAACAGCGUAAUUUUAAUGGAAAGUUCAUAUUUAUAUUGAAGUUUGCGACCUCGAUGUUGAAUUAAGAUAAGUAUAAGGGGUAGAAUUUUUAUAACUAAGUCUGUUCGACUUUUAAAUUCUUACAUGAUUUGAGUUCAAACCGGUGUAAGCCAGGUUGGUUUCUAUCUUAAAAAAAUUAAUUUUAAUUAGUACGAAAGGACCAUUAAUUUCAAUUUUUAUUGUAUUAUUUGAAUUAAAUU